UCAAAGUUUACAUACCUAUCAUGUUCUUCUUCAGACUCACUUUGAUCAUCAUCAUCUUCUUCUUCUUCUUCUUCUUCUUCUUCUUCUUCUUCUUCAAUAAUGAGUACUUUCACUUAUUUUCCUUUAGAGGCUGAUCUUAUUCUCUUGGCAAGAGAGGAUUCAGAAGGAACUGAUUUGGAGGGCUUCUUAGAAGAAGCCCUAGGAUCCUUUGAUUUUGCAAGUGGAACCUCCAUAGUAGUGUUUCUUUCUUGAUGGACCAGUUCCAUGUCCUCUUCCUCCUCCUCAGUUAUAACUUCUGAACUUUCACAUAUCUUCCCUUUCCCCUUUUCUUUUCUUUUUCUCUUACUCUCCUCUAAGUCUUUCUGCAACUCAGCUUCACUCUCCCUAACCAUGCUUCUAGUUGUCCUAACCCUAUGAGCAGACUUGGGUGUUGAUGGUUUGGAUUUAUUGGUUGGUUUGGACGAAACAGGGGUCCUUUGUGAGGAAGCCUUGCAUUUCUUGGGAUCAUAACUAGCCCCAACCUU
rnacentral:lncRNA from 1 species